UGGAAGCCAAGAAACAUCACAAGCAGAUAGCGCAAAUGAUUUCUAAGCCCAGGACAGGGGGUGAAGGUGGAUUAUACUGAGCAAGGAAGUCACAAGAACCAUGUCAGCAACCCCCCCCCCUCUAUCCUGCACAUUUUUCUGACUGAGGCUCAUUUCUAUCUGAAGUUGCCACAGGGAUGAAGUAGGACCAACCAGCUUCCUGUUCCAGCCACCAUGCCUUUCUGCCUCUUGCCAGCCAUGUCUUCCCCGACCUGUUCCUGGAGGUUCAGAGAAGCUGGUGUAAAUGUCCUGCCUAGAACUGAGCACUCUACAGCUACUUCUUCUCACCCUAGAACAGGAUCGAUCUCUGCACCCUCCACUGUUCAAUGCGAGGAGAAGCUUCUCUGAUUAAGGUUGAGAGUACAUUUGCUGAUGGGUAUAAACAUAAUAUUCGCAAGGCAGCUUGAUGCAUGUCAAUUUAUUGAAAUGAUAAU